rnacentral:lncRNA from 1 species
GGCUUGGUCAUUUGAGAAGCCACAGGAUUCUGGUCUGCUGUGGUCUUUGAUUUAGAAUAGGAAAAAAACGCCAAAAACCAAGCAGGGGAUUUUGUCUUCUGACUUUAUUCAUAGCCCAUGGGGCAGAGUUGAAGAGAGAACAUACUGUUUUUCUUCUGUAUCUCCUCACCCCCAUUCGCCUUAGAGGUGAGUUUUCAAGAUUUGAAUUGGAAGAAGGUGAAAUGGACAAGGGCAGCCUUGAGAAGGACACAGAGGGGCUCCCUGGUUAAAAGGCGAGACAGCACCCCCUGCUGGUGUGAAUGUUCAUGGACUGAGUUUUCCCCACUGCAGGGACUGCUGCAUCUGUUUUGCUGAUCGUGGAACAUACCGCACAUGGCGUAAAACAGGUGCCCAGUGAAUAUUAGAAAAGGAAAUUAUACGUGUUAAUCCAAGGUGGAUUAUUUUAUUAAAUUGAGAUGAGGUCUUGAUAUUGUUGCCCAGGCUGGUCUGGAACUCCUGAGCUCAAGCAGUUCUCCUACCUUGGCCUCCCAAAGCGCUGGCAUUACAGGCGUGGGCCACCACACCUGGCCUUCAAGGUGGAUUUAAAAAAGAAAUUUAAGAGUCUCUCUCACCCAGGCUGGAGUGCAGUGGCAUGAUCUUGGCUCACUGCAACCUCUGCCUCCUGAGUUCCAGCAGUCCUUGAGCCUCAGUAUUGAGUAGCUGGGACUACAUGCACGUGCACACUGCCACGCCUGGCUAAUUUUUGUAUUUUUAGCAGAGAUGGGAUUUUGCCAUGUGACCCAGGCUGGUCUUGAACUCCUGGCCUCAAACGAUCCACCUGUCUUAGCCUCUCAAAGUGUUGGGAUUACAGGUGUGUGCCAGUGCACCUGGCCUCUGAGGUGGAUUUUAGCUCCAGCCAGUAGGACACCCCUGUCUCUCCUUAAUGCUGCCAUCUCCUCUCUGCGCUGGUUCUCUCUUGAGUUUAUCACCUCGACUUCACAGGAAGGGCUGGUCACGUGAGGGGAGACUUUGGGUAGGAGGAAGAGAGUGGGCAGAAGAAGGAAAAAUCAGAUCUGCCUGCUGCCAGCCUUCACCGUUCAGAAGAAACACUUAACUCUUUUCAGCAACCGCAACAAAUAAUUAUGUUGGGCUCUGGCCAUCUGGCCCUGUUUGACCUGAAUCGGAAGACAGGUCUUAUUUUAGGACAUCAAAGAAGAGAGCAGACUUUUGCUCCCCACGCAAGGGUUGGAUAAGAAGCCAUAAGGAUGAACACAACUCAGUGACCAAUUCUUUAGUCAAAAGGAACAACUCGGCUGGGCAUGGUGGCUCACACCUGUAAUCUCAGCACUUUGGGAGGCUGAGGCGGGCGGAUCAUGAGGUCAGGAGAUCGAGACCAUCCUGGCUAACAUGGUGAAACCGUGUCUCUACUAAAAAUACAAAAAAUUAGCCGGGCGUGCUGGCGGGUGCCUGUAGUCCCAGCUACUCGGGAGGGAGGCUGAGGCAGGAGAAUGACAUGAACCCAGGAGGCGGAGCUUGCAGUGAGCCGAGAUGUGGCCACUGCACUCCAGCCUAGGCGACAGGGUGAGACUCCGUCUC